AGCAAUACAUAUUGAGUAAAUGUGUGUAAAAAUAAAAAACCGACUUACUAUGAGUUGACUCAGGUGAACUAUUGGGCUCUGGUUGUAUCUCUUCAUUAACUCCUGAAGUGUUCCUCAUUUCUUUGGAUAGCGUGUUGUCCUCCGUGUGAAAGUGCGCCAUUCCUCCGACAGUCUUUGUCAGUUCAGUACUUUAUGAAGGUGUCUAUCAGAGAUACAUAAAUGCAUUCAUACUCUUUGGUAAGCUUCUUCAUUCCUUAUCCGGAUAAUGUUUGUUAUGUUAUUUUGUGCCAAAGUUAGCGAUAGAGGCAUGCUAACGUCCUGGUAUUGGCUCUCAGCGUCAGGUACAGGUGUUGUUUGAGUCUGUGGUACCGAUAUAUUUACUUUCCACGUCGGUUUUCGGGAACUUGUCUCUGCUGAGACAUUUAUAACUUGUGACAACUGUCGACCAAGCUAAAAUACUGAGUAAUUACUAAUUGCAAAUAUUUUCUCUUUGCCACAGUCUACCUGGGUGAGAGCAGCACAUGGUUUUUGUUAAUUGGUGCAACAGAGAGCGGAAGUCCCGCCCCCUCUCCUACCUAGCCACUGUCCAUAUUAAAGAGAAACUCCAUACAAAAAUACAUACAUAAAAGGCCAAUUCCAAGGGCCGUGCCGCUUCCGUCUGCCAAAUGCCUGGGCACCCACGUUGGUGGGAACGUAGUUGGUGUGUCCCAGUCCUCCUGACCGACUCAAGAAGUCAGCCAAGCGGAAUAAUGCCACAAUUCUCACCUGGAUGGAGCUGCCUGUGAGACGUACAUCUGACAAAUAAUCAGCGCGUAGGCAAGAAGGAGAGUCCAGAGUUUCAGCAUUAUCAUGAU